CACCCCGGUCACCCCGGUGAUCCCAGCCACCUUGUCCACCCUGGCCCCCCCGACCACCCCAUCAUCACAAUGACCUCGGCCACUCUGGUCGCCCCGGCCAGCCGAUGACCCCGGUCACCCCCAUCAUCCCGGCCACCCCAUCAUCGGUGACUUUGGCCAGCCCAGCGACACCAGUGACCCCCGUCACCCUCCCUGUUCAUCCUGGUGAUCCCACCCUGACCAACCAAUCACCCUGACCAUCCUGGUUACCCCGGCCAUGCCAGCCACCUCUACCACCCCAGCGACCUUGGUCGCCAGCCCCGGACACCCCAUCCGGUCCCUGCGUGUGGAAGCACACUGACAUUACUACUGAUUGUUAGACCCUGUGGUAGCCUGUGGGUGAUGGGUUGGUGGGGAUUUGCUGCAGACUUUGGUGGUGCUCAUGCUGCACUCAAACAGAGCAAAGAAUGCCCAGCCCUGGAAAGAGGGGUCUGCUCCAGGAUAGGGAUCUGCUCUGAGAAAUACAGAUCUGCUCAGACAGGGAAGACAGGGAAGCUCAAAACUGUAUAUGGAGGGUAAAGGAUGCCCCAGAACGGCCAUAAGGCAGUGUCCCAGCAACCUGGACAUGGCUUUGAAACUGUCCCCAAGCCAUCUGGUGCGAUGGAUCAGUCACUCCAUCCAGCACGACCAGCUCCAGGGACACCUGGAUCCGGGAACAGGCGAGAGCUGCUUUGCAGGGUCUGAAGGGUUAGCAGUGGGUGCUGGGGAUCAAUCAUCUUGUACCUGAACAAUCAAAAGGUGUAAGAAUCUCAUUCUAGUGACAGGAUCUGGGGGAAUGGCUUGAGCUCUGUCGCUGUCAGGGAAGGUUUAGUUUGAUAUCAGAAAAAGGUUCUUCCUCCAGAGGGUGCUGGGGCACUGAACAACUCCUCAGGGAAUGCUCAUAGCCCCGGGGCUGCCAGAGCUCCAGCAGCACUGUUCAACGCUCUCAGGCUCAAGGUGACAUUAUUGGGGUGUCUGUGCAGGGCCAGGAGCUGGACUUGAUGAUCCCUGUAGGUCCCUUCCAACUCAGGAUAUUCCAUAAUUCUACAAUACUUGAACCUGUGGAAAGGCACAUUCAGGAGCCUCAGUUUGGCAGGAAUGCAGGAGCAAACAUUUACCUUGGUGGUGGUGUUUUAUUCCCUGACUUCUGACUGGCAUAGGCUGGUUGUGCAUUUUGGUGACAGGCCCAAGGAGUGGGUCCCUGGUGACCGUUUGCAGUUUGCAGGAGCCACUGCUGGGCUGUGUGCAGAGUGGCUGAGCCCUUCAGAUUCCUUGCUCCCCUUGGUCCUGGGCAGUGUCCCUCCCUAGCAGACUGGGCACACAGUCCCCAUGCCAGCUCACAGCCCUGGGCAGCUGGAAAGACCAGGGCUGACCUGCUGCCUGCACAAAGGUCUUCAGCUGCUUUUUGUACUCCCAUUUCCCUCUCCAGCAGCCUCUCACCACGGCUGCCUGCUCGGCUCUGGCUGUGCUGUUCUCUCAGAGAGGGUCCCUGUGUCAGCCAGCAACCAACCCAUCCACCUCAAACUCUCUUGGAAGGAUGAGCCACAAAGACCCUGAACACUCACUGCUCACCCUCUUCAGGCAUACAGAGUUUUCCUGUGGGGACAUCCUGGCAGGACUCUCCUGUACUGAUGGAGUUUGUUGUGCAGCAUCACGGUUUCCACAGGAGGACAACUCUGCCACAGCCUUAACUGAGAUAAGCUGAGAGAGCUGGGACUGUUCAGUCUGGAAAAGAGAAAGUUUCAGUAUCUGAAGGGGGCUACGAGGAAGCUCAGGAACUGAGCUUUUCAUCAGGAACUGGAUAGAUGUAGAGGCUUGGCUGCAGGAGAAAGGACACAGGCUUCUGCAGGGAUGGCAUAACCCAGGCCUGAAGCUAGCAGAGAGUCCUUGAAUUGCCCUUGGACUAUGAGAUAAGAGGAAGUUGGCUGGUUGCACCAUGAUAGCAGGAUGUGCCAGCAGGAUAUCUGUAAACCGCAAGGCAGAAAUAUUGCAGAAAUAAGCAGGAGCACGAAGAGCUGGCCUGUACCAAUCAUAGUACUGGUUAGGGCACCUGAACAGCCACUUGUAACCAAUAAUAUGUAAGCUUAAGCCACGUGAAUAGCUGGCAAUGGUAUAUAAGAGCAUGCCAAUUAGCAAUAAAGAGAACAAGAUGUAUACCUCA